AUUGAACGCUGGCGGCAGGCCUAACACAUGCCAGUCGAGCGGAUGAAGGGAGCUUGCUCCUGGAUUCAGCGGCGGACGGGUGAGUAAUGCCUAGGAAUCUGCCUGGUAGUGGGGGAUAACGUCCGGAAACGGGCGCUAAUACCGCAUACGUCCUGAGGGAGAAAGUGGGGGAUCUUCGGACCUCACGCUAUCAGAUGAGCCUAGGUCGGAUUAGCUAGUUGGUGGGGUAAAGGCCUACCAAGGCGACGAUCCGUAACUGGUCUGAGAGGAUGAUCAGUCACACUGGAACUGAGACACGGUCCAGACUCCUACGGGAGGCAGCAGUGGAGAAUAUUGGACAAUGGGCGAAAGCCUGAUCCAGCCAUGCCGCGUGUGUGAAGAAGGUCUUCGGAUUGUAAAGCACUUUAAGUUGGGAGGAAGGGCAGUAAGUUAAUACCUUGCUGUUUUGACGUUACCAACAGAAUAAGCACCGGCUAACUUCGUG
rnacentral:rRNA from 1 species